AGGUAUGAUCAUACCAGCACUAACGAAUUGGAUCCCUUCAGAACUCUGCAGCUAAGCGUGCUCGGGCGAGAGUAGUACUAGGAUGGAUGACCUCUUGGGAAGUGCUCUUGUUGCACCUC
rnacentral:rRNA from 2 species